rnacentral:lncRNA from 1 species
UCAACUUCAAGCACAGCGAUGGUGGAUCUUGAAAACGAUAAUUGUCACGACCUAAAGCUCGAUCCAGAUCAUCAUCAUCAACAACAUCCCAUGAUCUUUCAACAACGAUUGAUUUAUUUAGAUCAGCUUUCUCCGGCAUCAACUGUAGAGUAACGAAACCCUUGUUUCCAUCGUUAUCUUCUCUAGCUCUAUCCAAGAUUCGUUUCUUCCUAGUAUUAUUUUUCUCGCAAACCCUAACGUACUUUCUCUUCUUUCUCUUGCUAGUAACAUCCAAGUUCUUGCUAUUAAGGAUAGACUCACUGGAAUCCGAAUCUCCGUUCACCGGUUUUGGAGCAAUCGGCCUGAAUUUGAGCAUUAUCCGAUUGAUUAUCGUCUUAUCGUAUACACCCCCGGA